UUAUAGGCGGAUGGUGGAUGCCUUGGGACUGGAAGGCGAUGAAGGACGUGGCGUGCCUGCGUUAAGCUCGGGGGAGGUGGUAAGCAACCUUUGAUCCCGAGAUAUCCGAAUGGGGAAACCCCUCCUGGUGUUGAGCCGGGAGAUCCCUCGCGUUAGCGAGGGAAGCGAACCUGCGGAAGGGAAACAUCUCAGUACGCAGAGGAAAAGAAAACAAGCCCCGCAUUUGCGGGGUAACAUUCCCCUAGUAGCGGCGAGCGAAAAGGGAAGAGCCCAAACCCCCCCAAAAAUUUCUGGCAAGCGAAGUGAAAGCUUCGAUCCAGGAAUUUUGGGGAGGGGUUGUAAGGCGGAGCGUCCCCGUAUUCAUACGGGGCAAAGCGCAACAAUAUAUAAUGGUUAGCCAAAGCACCCUGGAAAGGGGAGCCAUAGAGGGUAAUAGCCCCGUCGGCGAAAAUCAUUAUAAGCUUUGAACUCCUGACCUUGAGUACCACGGGAAACGACAGUCCUGUGGGAAGCAAGCUGGACUAUACAGCUAAGGCUAAAUACUAACCAGUCACCGAUAGUGCACAAGUACUGUGAAGGAAAGGUUAAAAGUAGGGGGGUGACCCCGGUGAAAUAGAACCUGAAACCAUCACGCUUACAAAGACUCGGAGCCCCGCAGCAAUGCGGGGUGACGGGGUGCUUUUUGUAGAACGAGCCAACGAGUUUUAUUAACUAGUUUGUCUAAGCGUCUCUGACGCGGAGGCACAGGGAAACCAAGUCUGAAUAGGGCGCAUCCCGCAAGGGGUACUAGUUGGUAAAGACCCGAAGCCAAGGCGAGCUUGCCAUGACCAGGUUGAACCCCACCGAAAGGUGGGGGGAGGACCGAACCGGUGAACCGUGCAAAAUUCUCGGAUGAGUUGUGGUAAGAAGUGAAAAGCUAAUCGAGCUUGGUAAUAGCUGGUUCUCUCCGAAAUAACUUUAGGGUUAGCGUCUUGCAUCACUUUCCGGAGGUAGAGCACUGAAAGAAAUUCCGUGGGGAAACUCAGGUAUUUCUAUCAAACUCCGAAUGCCGGAAAAUCGGCAAGGCAGUAAGAACGCGGGCGCUAAGGUCCGCGCUCAAGAGGGGAUAAGCCCAGACCUUCAUCUAAGGUCCCCAAAUCAGGCUAAGUGCAAGCUAAGGAAGUGAGAUUCCUCUGAUAGCUAGGAGGUUAGCUCAGAAGCAGCUAUCCUUUAAAAAGUGCGUAAUAGCUUACUAGCUAAGGAGUUUUGCACCGCAAAUUCACGGGGCUCAAGCCUGAUACCGAAGAUAAGGACUCCGCCGCAAGGCGGUUUGGUAGGAGAGCGUUUCCAAUGCAGCGAAGUCGAACCGUAAGGUUUGGUGGAGCGUUGGGAAGUGAGAAUGUUGGCAUGAGUAACCACAAUCAAGGUGAGAUCCCUUGACACCGAAAAUCCAAGGGUUCCUUGACAAUGUUGAUCAGUCAAGGGUUAGGCGAUCCUAAGGCGUAGCCGAAAGGUGCAGCUGAUGGACAUCUGGUUAAUAUUCCAGACCUCCCGCAUAGGACUUCAAAGAUCGACGGAGCUUAGUAGUUUGGGCGAGUGAUUGGAUUCUCGUUUUCGGCAUGACCAACCCGCAAGGGUGAAGAAAUGCCGGCGAAAUGUUCUGGUUCGCCAGAAUAAAUCCAAAUGAGCAAGCUUCCCAGAAAAUUUCUUUGAGGGUUAAUUUUAUACGGGAAUCGUACCGUAAACCGACACAGGUGGAUUGGCGUAAAUUUGCCAAGGUGAACGGAUGAAAGUUCGUGAAGGAACUAGGCAAAAAAGUAGGCGUAACUUCGGAAUAUGCCUUUCCCCCGUAGCAGUACGGGGGACGCAGCGAAGGAUUCUCAGGCGACUGUUUAUCAAAAACACAGGUCCCUGCUAAACUCGUAAGAGGAAAUAUAGGGGCUGAGACCUGACCAGUGCCCGUGUGUUAAAAUCGGCGGUUGCUUUUCGUCGCAAGACGGGGAGUUGCUAACCGAUCUAAGCCACGGGUGAACGUCCGCGGUAACUCUGACCGUGUUAAAGUAGCGUAGUCCCUUGUCACGUAAGUUGUGACCCGCAUGAAAGGUAUAACGAUCUGAGAACUGUCUCCACGAAUUAUCCGGUGAAAAUGUAAUGUCGGUGAAGAUACCGACUACCUGCGGCUAGACGGAAAGACCCCGGGAGCUUUACUGUAGGGUGAUAUUGAGUUUUGAGUGUUGAUGCGUAGCAUAGUGGUGAGGCUUUGAGUCCUUUCUUUCGGGAAUGGAGGAGCCGUCAGUGAAAUAGCCAUCUUUAAUAUUCAUUAUUCUAAUCUGAAAGGUGACAGUGUCACUCGGGCAGUUUAAGUGGGGCGCUUGCCUCCUAAAAUGUAACGGAGGCGUUUAAAAGUCGGCUAAGCACGGAUGGAAAUCGUGCAUGUCGGGCAAAGCCAUAAGCCGGCCUAACUGCAAGGCGUGUAUGCCGCGCAGAUGCGAAAGCAGAACUUAGUGAACCGAUGCUGGUUAUUAGAAUCGGCAGAGAUCAUCAAACAAAAGUUACCCCGGGGAUAACAGGCUGGUAGGGCCCACGAGUCCAUAUCAACGGCCCUGUUCGGCACCUCGAUGUCGGCUCAUCAUAGCGCGGGGGUGGAGAAGCUCCCAAGCGUCCGGCUGUUCGCCGGUUAAAAUGGUACGUGAGCUGGGUUCAGACCGUCGCGAGACAGGUCGGUCCCUAUCUACCGCAGGCGUUAGAGUCUUGAGAGGAGUCGACCCUAGUACGAGAGGACCGGGUUGAACUGACCUCUGGUGUACCAGUUGUUCCGCCAGGAGCAUUGCUGGGUAGCUAAGUCGGGAUCGGAUAAGAGCUGAAAGCAUCUAAGCUCGAAGCCAACCUCAAGAUUAUGACUCUUCAUUAACUUCCUUCAAGAUUAGGAGGUCGAUAGGCUGCAGGUGUAAGUUCCGCGAGGAAUUAAGCCGAGCAGUACUAAUAGAGUGAAACGCCCUGGCU
rnacentral:rRNA from 1 species